UGGGGAAUUUUGCACAAUGGGGGAAACCCUGAUGCAGCGACGCCGCGUGAUUUAGAAGGCCUUCGGGUUGUAAAAAUCUUUUCUAUGGGAAGAAAAUGACAGUACCAUAGGAAUAAGGACCGGCUAAUUACGUGCCAGCAGCCGCGGGCAUACGUAAGGUCCGAGCGUUGUCCGGAAUCAUUGGGCGUAAAGGGUACGUAGGCGGGUAAGCAAGUUAGAAGUGAAAUCCUAUAGCUCAACUGUAGUAAGCUUUUAAAACUGCUCAGCUUGAGGUAUGGAAGGGAAGGUGGAAUUCCUAGUGUAGCGGUGAAAUGCGCAGAUAUUAGGAGGAAUACCGGUGGCGAAGGCGACUUUCUGGCCAUAACCUGACGCUGAGGUACGAAAGCGUGGGUAGCAAACAGG
rnacentral:rRNA from 1 species